rnacentral:rRNA from 1 species
GACGAACGCUGGCGGCGUGCUUAACACAUGCAAGUCGAACGGUGAAGCGCCUUCCUUUUUGGUGGGUGUGGAUGAGUGGCGAACGGGUGAGUAACACGUGAGUAACCUGCCCCCUUCUUCUGGAUAACCGCAUGAAAGUGUGGCUAAUACGGGAUAUUCUGGGUCUGUCGCAUGAUGGGUCUGGGAAAGAUAUUGUUUCGGUGGGGGAUGGGCUCGCGGCCUAUCAGCUUGUUGGUGGGGUGAUGGCCUACCAAGGCGGUGACGGGUAGCCGGCCUGAGAGGGUUGACGGUCACACUGGGGAUUAGACACGGCCCAGACUCCUACGGGAGGCAGCAGUGGGGAAUAUUGCACAAUGGGCGCAAGCCUGAUGCAGCGACGCCGCGUGAGGGAUGGAGGCCUUCGGGUUGUGAACCUCUUUCGCCAGUGAAGCAGGCCUGCCUCGUUUGUGGGUGGGUUGACGGUAGCUGGAUAAGAAGCGCCGGCUAACUACGUG